UACGGAGGGUGCAAACGUUGUCCGGAAUCACUGGGCGUAAAGCGCAUGUAGGUGGUUUGAUGCGUCUUUGAUUAAAGACUGCCGCUUAACGGCAGGACUGUUGGAGAUACGAUCAUACUAGAGGAUAGCAGGGGUAUGUAGAACUUUGAGUGUAGGAGUGAUAUCCGUAGAUAUUCAAAGGAAUACCAAUGGCGAAGGCAGCAUACUGGGCUAUUUCUGACACUAAGAUGCGAAAGCGUGGGGAGCAAACGGG
rnacentral:rRNA from 1 species